GAUGAACGCUGGCGGCGUGCCUAAUACAUGCAAGUCGAGCGAACGGACGAGAAGCUUGCUUCUCUGAUGUUAGCGGCGGACGGGUGAGUAACACGUGGAUAACCUACCUAUAAGACUGGGAUAACUUCGGGAAACCGGAGCUAAUACCGGAUGAUAUUUUGAACCGCAUGGUUCAAAAGUGAAAGACGGUCUUGCUGUCACUUAUAGAUGGAUCCGCGCUGCAUUAGCUAGUUGGUAAGGUAACGGCUUACCAAGGCAACGAUGCAUAGCCGACCUGAGAGGGUGAUCGGCCACACUGGAACUGAGACACGGUCCAGACUCCUACGGGAGGCAGCAGUAGGGAAUCUUCCGCAAUGGGCGAAAGCCUGACGGAGCAACGCCGCGUGAGUGAUGAAGGUCUUCUGAUCGUAAAACUCUGUUAUUAGGGAAGAACAUAUGUGUAAGUAACUGUGCACAUCUUGACGGUACCUAAUCAGAAAGCCACGGCUAACUACGUG
rnacentral:rRNA from 1 species